rnacentral:rRNA from 1 species
UGGGGAAUAUUGGGCAAUGGGCGAAAGCCUGACCCAGCAACGCCGCGUGAUUGAAGAAGGUCUUCGGGUUGUAAAGAUCUGUCCUAUGGGACGAACACAAUGACGGUACCAUAGGAGGAAGCCCCGGCUAACUACGUGCCAGCAGCCGCGGUAAUACGGAGGGGGCUAGCGUUGUCCGGAAUUACUGGGCGUAAAGGGUGCGCAGGCGGCAUUUUAAGUCAGAUGUGAAAUACCCGGGCUUAACCCGGUGGGUGCAUUUGAAACUGGAAGGCUUGAGUGCAGGUGAGGUAAGUGGAAUUCCUAGUGUAGCGGUGAAAUGCGUAGAUAUUAGGAGGAACACCAGUGGCGAAGGCGACUUACUGGACUGUAACUGACGCUGAGGCACGAAAGCGUGGGGAGCAAACA